AUGUUGCUCAUUGUCCAGAAGAGGAGAAGCUCCCACCAGAUUCCCUCCACCAUGUUCUCUGUGACUCUGCUGCUGCUGGCUGCUGCAUCCUGUGUAAGGAGUCAACAGCUCACACAGCCAGCCUCUGUGGUUGUGCAGCCUGGAGAGAGUCUGACCAUCAACUGUCAGGUGUCUUAUUCUGUGAGCAGCUAUUACACUGGUUGGAUCAGACAGCCUGCAGGAAAAGGACUGGAGUGGAUUGGAGUGGCAGCUGGAUCUACAACAUAUUACAAAGAUUCCCUCAGAAAUAAGUUCAGCAUCUCCACAGACUCUUCCAGCAACACAGUGACUCUCAGAGGACAGAAUAUGCAGCCUCAAGACUCUGCUGUGUAUUACUGUGCAAAAGAUGCACCAUGA